GAUACACUACCUGCGUGAGCGGAACGAAAACAACAACACCUAAAAUGUGGAAUAUAGCAUAUAGUCGACAAGAGAAAUCUACGAAAAACAAACAAAACUUUCAACAACGGAUCUCUUGGUUCUCGCAUCGAUGAAGAGCGCAGCGAAAUGCGAUACCUAGUGUGAAUUGCAGCCAUCGUGAAUCAUCGAGUUCUUGAACGCACAUUGCGCCCCUCGGCAUUCCGGGGGGCAUGCCUGUUUGAGCGUCGUUUCCAUCUUGCGCGUGCGCAGAGUUGGGGGAGCGGAGCGGACGACGUGUAAAGAGCGUCGGAGCUGCGACUCGCCUGAAAGGGAGCGAAGCUGGCCGAGCGAACUAGACUUUUUUCAGGGACGCUUGGCGGCCGAGAGCGAGUGUUGCGAGACAACAAAAAGCUCGACCUCAAAUCAGGUAGGAAUACCCGCUGAACUUAAGCAUAUC
rnacentral:rRNA from 1 species